CCUACGGGAGGCAGCAGUGGGGAAUAUUGGACAAUGGGCGAAAGCCUGAUCCAGCAAUGCCGCGUGAGUGAUGAAGGCCUUCGGGUCGUAAAGCUCUUUUACCAGGGAUGAUAAUGACAGUACCUGGAGAAUAAGCUCCGGCUAACUCCGUGCCAGCAGCCGCGGUAAUACGGAGGGAGCUAGCGUUGUUCGGAAUUACUGGGCGUAAAGAGUACGUAGGCGGUUAUUCAAGUCAGAGGUGAAAGCCCGGGGCUCAACCCCGGAACUGCCUUUGAAACUAGAUAGCUAGAGUCUUGGAGAGGUUAGUGGAAUUCCGAGUGUAGAGGUGAAAUUCGUAGAUAUUCGGAAGAACACCAGUGGCGAAGGCGACUAACUGGACAAGUACUGACGCUGAGGUACGAAAGCGUGGGGAGCAAACAGGAUUAGAUACCCUGGUAGUCCACGCCGUAAACGAUGAUAACUAGUUGUUCGGUCACUUGGUGACUGAGUGACGCAGCUAACGCAUUAAGUUAUCCGCCUGGGGAGUACGGUCGCAAGAUUAAAACUCAAAGGAAUUGACGGCUGAGAGUUGCGAGACGACGACGAGGGAGAGG
rnacentral:rRNA from 1 species